rnacentral:rRNA from 1 species
AGAGUUUGAUCAUGGCUCAGAAUCAACGCUGGCGGCGUGCUCAGACAUGCAAGUCGAACGCGAAAGUUUCCUUCGGGAGAUGGGUAGAGUGGCGCACGGGUGAGUAACACGUAGGUAAUCUACCUUCGGGUGGGGAAUAACCCAGGGAAACUUGGGCUAACACCGCAUAAUGCAGCGGCACCACAUGGUGACAGUUGUUAAAGCGGGGGAUUUUCGGACCUCGCGCCUGAAGAGGAGCCUGCGGCAGAUUAGCUUGUUGGUAAGGUAACGGCUUACCAAGGCGACGAUCUGUAGCCGGCCUGAGAGGGCGGUCGGCCACACUGACACUGACAUACGGGUCAGACUCCUACGGGAGGCAGCAGUCGGGAAUUUUGGGCAAUGGGCGAAAGCCUGACCCAGCAACGCCGCGUGAAGGAUGAAAUCCCUCGGGAUGUAAACUUCGCAAGAAUGGGAAGAAUUAGUAGGGGCUAAUACCCUCUAUGAUGACGGUACCAUUUGUAAGCUCCGGCUAACUCCGUGCCAGCAGCCGCGGUAAUACGGGGGGAGCAAGCGUUGUUCGGAUUUACUGGGCGUAAAGGGCGCGUAGGCGGCCAGCACAAGUCAGUUGUGAAAUCUCCGGGCUUAACUCGGAAAGGUCAACUGAUACUGUGCGGCUAGAGUGCGGAAGGGGCAACUGGAAUUCUCGGUGUAGCGGUGAAAUGCGUAGAUAUCGAGAGGAACCCUGCGGCGAAGGCGGGUUGCUGGGCCGACACUGNNNCUGAUGCGCGAAAGCCAGGGGAGCGAACGGGAUUAGAUACCCUAGUAGUCC